rnacentral:rRNA from 1 species
UACGGGGGGAGCAAGCGUUGUUCGGAUUUACUGGGCGUAAAGGGCGCGUAGGCGGCCACUGCAAGUCAGUUGUGAAAUCUCCGGGCUUAACCCGGAAAGGUCAACUGAUACUGCAGGGCUAGAGUGCAGAAGGGGCAACUGGAAUUCUCGGUGUAGCGGUGAAAUGCGUAGAUAUCGAGAGGAACACCUGCGGCGAAGGCGGGUUGCUGGGCUGACACUGACGCUGAGACGCGAAAGCGUGGGGAGCAAACAGG